UUUGAUUUUCUUUGCUCCUUUUUUCGGCGCUUUUGUUUCUGUGCAGGCGGCGAAUAGAAACUUCUCUACGCAGAAGCGUGCACACUACACCUGCACCGUAAGCCGCGGCUUGUAUGUUGAUAGGAAAGCGACGGAACGUACACCAAACAACAAAACAAGAUAAGCGAACUGAAGUUGAAUAAAACGCAACAACCGCGCGCUCGCUCGCUUGGUGCGCGCUUUUGGUGACUCGCUCGACCUCGUGUCGCUGCCAUACCGAGAACGUGCGUGCCUGCGUGUGUGCCGUUAAAAUGGUUGGCGACGACGUCUCCAUUUACAGGCACAGAGAGGUUGUCUAGUACAGGAGGCAACAGGCACUCAUUCUAUUUCCAGUAAGAAUUCGCGCGGCACGACGGCACGUUUCGUCCAACCAAUGUUCGCAACUUCUAAGCCGCGACAUGUGUGCAACGUUUGCUGCCAAGUUAUCCAAAUCUCCGAUAUCGACCUUGCCCGGUGUGUGAGUUUGUGGUGGCGUUGCGAUCAGAGCGAGUGUUUUUUUUUUUUUUUGCUGUUGUUUGUUUUAUCUUUAUCUUAUCGCUGGGAGUUACUUGCACCGGGUAUGACUACGCCCACGACCUGUGGCGCUAUUGAGCUUUAGGAUGAUUUAUACACGCACCGAGCAAUCAAGCACGGCAAAUGAUGAGUGAUGCGCAUCCGGUUCUGAGAUUCUUCAAACGAUUGGACAUAAUAAAAAACUGUUUUCAA